GGCUGAUUUGAUGGUAGUGGGUUAUCUGAACUUAUUAACUUCAGUGUCACUAAAGUUGAUAAACAACCCCCCACUGCUAAAUUUAACUGGCAAAA
rnacentral:Y_RNA from 1 species